rnacentral:rRNA from 1 species
UACGUAGGGUGCAAGCGUUAUCCGGAAUUAUUGGGCGUAAAGAGCUCGUAGGGGGUUUGUCGCGUCUGCUGUGAAAACUGGAGGCUCAACCUCCAGCCUGCAGUGGGUACGGGCAGACUAGAGUGCGGUAGGGGAGAUUGGAAUUCCUGGUGUAGCGGUGGAAUGCGCAGAUAUCAGGAGGAACACCGAUGGCGAAGGCAGAUCUCUGGGCCGUAACUGACGCUGAGGAGCGAAAGCGUGGGGAGCGAACAGG